rnacentral:siRNA from 1 species
AUGGGCCGAAGCUGUGGGAUGUCA